rnacentral:rRNA from 1 species
CAGCCGCCGCGGGAAUACGAAGGGUGCAAGCGUUAAUCGGAAUUACUGGGCGUAAAGCGUGCGCAGGCGGUUUUGUAAGACAGGCGUGAAAUCCCCGGGCUCAACCUGGGAAUGGCGCUUGUGACUGCAAAGCUAGAGUGCGGCAGAGGGGGAUGGAAUUCCGCGUGUAGCAGUGAAAUGCGUAGAUACGCGGAGGAACACCGAUGGCGAAGGCAAUCCCCUGGGCCUGCACUGACGCUCAUGCACGAAAGCGUGGGGAGCAAGCAGGAUUAGAUACCCGCGUAGUCCCUGUCUCUUAUAC